GUGUCAGCAGCCGCGGUAAGACAGAGGGGGCAAGCGUUGUCCGGAAUUACUGGGCGUAAAGCGCACGCAGGCGGCCCGGCAAGUGGUGUGUGACAGCGAACGGCUUAACCGUCCGAGGCCAUGCCAGACUGCCGAGCUUGAGCCGUGCAGAGGCCAGUGGAAUUGCCGGUGUAGGAGUGACAUCCGUAGAGACCGGCAGGAACACCGAUGGGGAAGCCAGCUGGCUGGGCACGUGCUGACGCUCAGGUGCGAUAGCGUGGGGAGCAAACCGGAUUAGAAACCCCAGUAGUCC
rnacentral:rRNA from 1 species